rnacentral:misc_RNA from 1 species
CCAUGUCGGAAAUCGCAACGCAGACAUUUUUUUCGAUCCCGUUUUACAAGGGAUAUCUCCCAUUCAAGGAGGCACAGCAGGCACAGUCCUAUGUUGUGCUCGCCCUUACCACGGACGACGCGCCGCUGCUCUACGACGAUGAUACGUGUGCCGUUGGCUCGGUAGGGGGCGGGUACGUGGUGGCCAAGGCGCCCUCCACGACGCCCGAGCGCCCCGUAACACCGGAGAACGCGGCCUCGGGUCGCCAAGCUGCUCUGCUGCACCCGUUAUCGUCGCUGCCGCCACCACCGCCAGAGAGAUCGCCGAUCACGCGCAGUCGCUCCACGACGAACGAGAAUAGCCACGCGUCACCACACAUGCUCAGCAGCAGCAUCGACUCUACAGGCAUCCACUCUGCCGCUCCGGUGGCCACCGCCCUCGGUGGUGGCGUUGCGUUUUACCUCUUUCAUAAACGCGACGUGCAACCGCCGCCGAUCCGGUUCUAUGUUUCUCCCAAGAAGGUCCAUCGCUGCUUCCGCGGGUGCGAAAGGUUGGGUUGCUCGUGCGAGCGCAUCCACUUCAACCCAGAUGCGUGGCGCAUGCGUCUGGAAACGUUGCCGAGGCUGCCGCUGACGGUCGCGCGCGCCGGGCAGAACAUACGUGUAGCGCCGAACCAGAUAGAGCCGACGGCCGGGUACUUUUUUGCACUUGGGCUGAAGACGGCCAAGGUGCUUCCUGCUGUGGUGCCGACAAUGUGUCGUUUCAACACGACAUGCCGAAACGGAAUCAGAUGCCUGUACAUUCACGCCGACACGACGGUGACGCCCAAGCAGGUGCAGACGUCCGAGAUUACCCUGCGUACGUGGGGCCAACACGUGAUGGACAACGCCCUGUCAGGCAAGGAGGCGGGCGCCUUCUUUGAGUUCCUCGACGAGCAAGGCGUGCGCACUGUGGGGGACAUGCAGGUGCUCGGAAACGCCGCCUUCGAUUCGCUGGCCGCCAGAGUCCCGCCGCGGUGGGCGGAGGCCUUCUUGACGCUGUCGGUGCUGCGUGACUUGGACACGAAGAUGCUGCUGUCGAAUGCGCUUAUGGCGUUCCCGCGCAUAGAGGCACCUGUGAGACUGCCGGGCUUCCUGAAUACCGUCGGCGACCUGCUCAACCUGACCGCGUCUGCCUUCAUGCAGCUCCAAGUCGCACCGUUUGUGAUGAAUGCAUGCUCGUUGAUUCGCGCCCGCUACGGCACUGACGAGACCUUCAGCAUCAUCGACCUCAAGAAGGAACAGCCCAACACUUUCUUCAGCAACGCUACGCGCAUGAUUCAGAGCUUCUGCCGCACGCAUGCGCACUGUAGCUGGCGCAAGCACGAUCCAUCACGGCCAGUAGUCACAUCGGUGCUUACCUUUGUGGAUGUCAACAAAUGCCACUGUCACCUCAACGGCGACAACCCAGAAAACACGCACGAGGAGCACAUCGACGCCCCCAUCCCGGCCGACAUUGAAGAGAUGGGCACGCCGAGCGGAUCGUGGUGCCAGUGUAUGCGACGAGGCGUGAUCGCGGUCAACUACGAGCUCAGCACGCCGAGCGGGUCGCGCUGCUCCGAGCAGAAUGCGAUGGGCAAGCUUGCCUCACUCGGUGUCCCCACCUGGGGCGUGCGAGAGGUAUUUGUGCACGGAAGGGCCGCAAAGGAGCCAAACCCGCUCUUCCCGUGCGGUGUGUGUGAGAAUAUGCUGCGGAGAGUGACAAAGGACGUUCUCGCCCACUACGGCGGCGACGUCACGCUCUACAUGUUUGACGCCACCACCCCGCGCAAAAUUGUAUUUCUCACGAUCCCCGAAAUCUCCAACCGGGAUGGCGCCAACUUCAAGAAAUUUGUUGCCGAGGACCUUCGCAGCCGCUGACACAUCCUGCAGGGGUCUCGAAAGAGAGGGACGCGUUCAAAGGAAUCAGACGGGUGGGAGGGGGGCGAAUGUCCUACUGCGUUGCUAUCAGAGUCGAUGGGGUAUGCAGCUCGCGUAACUCUCCUGUUGCACGCCAUCCUCCUCUUUUUCUUGUGCCUUCUGCCGCGCUCGUUGGCGCCAUUGGGCGUCCCUGUGCUUCAAUGGAUGGGGUGAUGGAUGUAGUAGUGGAUAUGUUGUUGUGCGGUUGGCCG